CUAAUGUGAUAUUGUGCAUUCUAUUCAAAUCUUGUGAUGUCAUUUUCUAUUUUAUUGUGAUAGUUAGCAUUCUAUUAUAUUCUGUUCUAUUGUAUUCUAUUCAACUCUGUUCUAUUCUCGAGGUCAUGCUCCACUUUUAGUGCCCGUGGUGACGCUCUCAUAUGGCUUCAGUCAGCUGCUUCAUGUUGACAAGAAGCCCACUAUAAUUCCGGAAAUUGGGAGAUUUUCUUAUCAAAAUAAAAUAAAUGACCUGAUGAUUUGUCCUGAAGGACCUAUUUAUUUAUCUUAAUAACAACUGUAACUUUUUACGUGGUGUAUUUUGGCGUCACAAUUAUUCUUCCAUGCACAUUUCUAUUCGCGGAGGCAUUUUGUUACUGAAAUAUAUUAUAUAUUGUAUUUGUUGUAGAAUAGAACCAUUUUAUUUUUACGGGUUGGAUCGGAAGCGAUGUUUGAUUUAGGCUAACUUGACGCCAAAUAUCAAUGUCCGACUUUGUACCUGAUAGGAACAAGCUCGGCUUCUCCUAAAUAACGCAUUUCAUUACUACAGCAACAGCAGGAUGGAUGUGCAUCAUCUGCAUCAUCACAUUAACAUCUGACAGCUGUCGGUUCCUGUUUCACUGCAGAAUCUGAGUUUUCUGAUCUCACAAGACCAAAUGUCAGCUGUGAAGCCAGUUCAGUACUGGACCAAGUUUAUUGCUACUGAAAUGAUGUCACCAUGUGUUGGAGGAGUCGGUCGACUAUAGAGCAGAGGGAGAGGAAUGUAAAGACCCUUUGUGUUUAUGGCAGAAAGACACUCAGUUAGUGUGGCCAAAAAGCAGUGGAUGUGGCUGGCGUCCAGCUGCGGCCGGCCUUCUCAAUGGUCUCUCCCACUAUGAAAGCAUUGGUGGAUGCUGUAUGGGCGGUGUGGAGCAUCGGGGCCUCCAUUUAUGACUACAUCCACACUAAUGCUAUGGAGGAGCGCAUCCAUGCUCUGGAGGACGUCAUCACCAUCCACCAGUGUGUGAUUGGACUUCUGUCCGCAGGCGUAUUGGUACUCUUUACCUACAUCCUUUUCAAGAAGAUCUGAAGAUGCAUGAAGGGGUGGGCUGUGGGCGACAUGGGGGGGGGGUGGACUGACCAGAAUCAAACAUUAGUGUCCAGCGUAGUAAAGCAAACACUGACCAGAUAAACAAAGGGGAAUUUUUACACGCUGGAUACAUCAGACCAGCUCAUUAGAGCUAGAGGGUAUUAAUAGCCAGGGGCGUAGCACAACAUUUUGGACCAUAUACACAGGCAUUCUCUAUGGGCCCCUCCACACAUCCUCAGCUAUUCAUUCUAGUAACUUUGUGGGCCCUCCUCAAAUGAGGGCAUACUCAGUCCCUUUCCCCCCUUCUUUAAAUUUGUAUUUAAAAUGAAUGGCUUUACUUCUAAAAAAGGAUUCAUUGUUCCCCCCAAAAUGUUAUCUUUUACAGGCCUCUGAUGAAGCAAUUAGACCAUCAUGGGAUACUGUGACUCAGUAGCUCAUCACAAGUUUUUUUGGCUGAAGCUGUUGACUAAAAUAUGUUUAUAUUUUCUUAGGUUUGUUCUCUGAUACAAGAACACCCAGUGUCAGCAGAACAGACACUCCAUUAUAUCAGCAGUAAACUGGCCAAUUUGCAAUUUGUUUUGAGCCCAAGUAGCUGAAUGUA